ensembl:snoRNA Snora74a small nucleolar RNA SNORA74
UCCAGCAGUUGUCAGCUAUCCAGGCUGUGUGGUGCCCGUGAUUGUGUUACACUGUUGGGAGAGUAAACACUGCCUUCCUAAGGGCUGGCUCCGAGCACUGUUUUGGUGUCCGGUGCUGAGUACUUGAGGCAGUAUUGCAUCCCUGAGAGUGGAAUGACUCCUUGUGGGGUUGGUCCUGGUCUGGGUGCAAACAGU